AUUGAACGCUGGCGGCAUGCCUUACACAUGCAAGUCGAACGGUAACAGGUCUUCGGAUGCUGACGAGUGGCGAACGGGUGAGUAAUACAUCGGAACGUGCCUAGUAGUGGGGGAUAACUACUCGAAAGAGUGGCUAAUACCGCAUGAGAUCUACGGAUGAAAGCAGGGGAUCGCAAGACCUUGUGCUACUAAAGCGGCCGAUGGCAGAUUAGGUAGUUGGUGGGAUAAAAGCUUACCAAGCCGACGAUCUGUAGCUGGUCUGAGAGGACGAUCAGCCACACUGGGACUGAGACACGGCCCAGACUCCUACGGGAGGCAGCAGUGGGGAAUUUUGGACAAUGGGCGAAAGCCUGAUCCAGCAAUGCCGCGUGCAGGAUGAAGGCCUUCGGGUUGUAAACUGCUUUUGUACGGAACGAAAAGCCCCGGGUUAAUACCCUGGGGUCAUGACGGUACCGUAAGAAUAAGCACCGGCUAACUACGUGCCAGCAGCCGCGGUAA
rnacentral:rRNA from 1 species